rnacentral:rRNA from 1 species
CAGAAAAUAACUUUUUUAAUAUUAAAAAUUAAAAUUUUUUUAAUUUGUGCAGAAACAAUUAUAACAAUUAAGGACAAGAAGACCCUAAGAAUUUAUAAAUUUAAUUAAUAUUUUUUUAUGCUAAUUAAAUUUUAACUGGGGCGGUUAAGAAAUAUUAAAAACUUUUUGAAAUAAUAUGACCCAUUAAUAAUGACUAUAUGAAAAAAUACUCUAGGGAUAACAGCGUUAUAUUUUUUGAUAGAUCAUAUUGACAAAA